UUUAGGAAAAAUCCCAUGAGUUUAGUAGCACUGAAAAAUUAAAAGAAAAAAAGAAUGGAGGGAAAUUAACUGAUCUAAGAACACACACACAGCCACUGUUUCUUUAAAAAUUCAAACAUUUUCAGUUCAUUCUCUUAUUCUCAAAAUCCAUUUUCAUCAAAUAAUAAUAGCUUCAUCAUCUAACUAAUUGCAGGUUUCAUCACACCAUUACUGCUAACUGGUGUCCCAGAAAUACGCCGGUGUGGAGCUUUUCCUUAUGAUCUUGAGCAAUAUGACCUUUCCUUGGCAGAGUCUGCUGCUUUCAACAGCUGAAGGGAUAUCAAGGUCUCCCUUCUCCUGACAAUUAAGAAGGACAUCUACAAAAUCUUCUUCAUCGCACCAUCCCGCUUAUCCAGUGAAGCAAUUUGAUGGAAGGAUACACAUCAGCAAGAGUAAAACCUCCAGCUGCUUCUAUUAGUUGCUUUGCAAUUGGUAUGAAAAUUUCUUCUCCCUUCCAUAUCUUGCCAAACGCUGCUCUUGAAAUAAUGCUAUACGUCACAGCAUUGAACAUCUUGCUAAAGUUGACUGGCGAUCCUGCUGCACCUGAAGACAAGGAUCUCAUAAGUUUUGACACUUCUUCUUCCCUUAUUGAUCUGAACGAGUGCACGCGUUUUGCAGUCAGUAGCUCGAGCGUGCAAAUUUUUCGCAUCUGUCUCCAAUAAUCUCCGUAUGGUGCAAAAGCUAUGUCUGAACAGUUAUAAGUUCCAAUACUUGCAGAAAGGAGAAAAGGCCUUUGAGCGAACGUGAUAUCGUGCGUUUUCAUCACUUCUUUAGCCAUUUCAGGCGAAGAAACGACGAUAUUAUUAAGCUCACCAAGCUUAAGAUGCAUAAGAGGUCCGUACUUGUUGGCCAAGUCUCUUAGUUGGCGAUGUGGAAGAGAGCCAGCUAAAUGGUGCAUGCUUCCUAUUAUAGGUAACUUCCAUGGACCUGGUGGAAGAUUUGGAAUUGAGUUGCUGAUUUUUGAUUUCUUCCAUAUUCUCAGUAACAUAAAGAUGAAAAGGAAGAAGGUGGAAAGGAUUGCAAAGAAAGAGAAUUGGUGUUCCAUAGCGAAGACAGUGAUUCUCAAGAAAAUAAGACUCAACUUGUUGAUUGAUAUAUUGAGGUUUUACUCGGCAAGUUGAGGAAUGUAUGGCGUAGCAAUUGAGUAAAGAUCAUUUUUCCUCUUCACUACAACGCCAAAAUCUUCAGCCAUGUCAAAAGUUUCCGGUUUCACUCCAUCAGGUAACUUCCAGUCAAAAUGGUAAAGCAAUUGUGCAAAUGGAAACUCAACAUUGCUCAUACCAAACAAUAUCCCUGGACAAAUCCUUCUUCCAGCACCAAAUGGAAGAAAUUCAUAAUCAGUUCCCUUAAUAUCAAUUGGAGAAUCUUGAAAUCUUUCUGGAUAGAAUUUCUCAGCUUCUUUCCAGUAAUUUGGAUCUCUUCCGAUUGCCCACGCAUUCACAAUUAUUUUUGAAUUAACCGGAAUGUCGUAAUCGUUAAUCACACAACUCUCUCUACAUUCUCUUGGAAGUACUAAUGGAAGAGGAGGGUGUAAUCUUAGAGUUUCUUUGAUUACUAAUUUCAAGUAGUUGAGUUCAUGAAUGCGUGAUUCGUCUACAUUUCCUUCUUUCCUGAAGACUUUUCUUACCUCUUGUUGUGCCUUUUCCAUCACUCUUGGAUCUUUCAAAAGCUCAGACAUUAUCCAUUCUACUGUUGUUGAUGAUGUCUCGCUACCGCCGGAAAAAACAUCCUGACAUAAAUAGCAGAUAAAAUAUGCAUACAUAAGACUUAUAUCUAUAAGGUAUGAUCUAAGAGAAUGAAUGCAGAUUUAAUGUCUUAGUGGUACCAAACUUUUGUCGUAUGUUUCAGUUUGAUACUAAAAUUAUAACUCGUAUCAAAUUGGUACCAAAUUUUUAUUACAAAUGAUGGUAAAUAGUGACCUUCCUAUUUGAUAAUAUGGUGACUGAGUGAAGCAUAUAUUUAAACUA